rnacentral:lncRNA from 1 species
AUGGCUGGCCCGGGUGGGGAAGGCAGGAGGCGGCGAUCCCUGCGGAGGGGGCCGUUCGCCAGCUCCGAGGCAGAAAGUGCCACGACUCCACACGCGCGCACGCAGCCAGCGAGCGGCCGGAGCGGACGGCGGACGGGGCGGGCAGCGUCGGGAUCGAGGCGCCUGCAGCUGCUUAGGGGGCGGCUUCUCGGCGGAGGCUUGGCCGGCUCCUCUCUCUCCCGCUUCCGCGGCGGCGGCGGCGGCUCCUGCCCUCUCGCUCUCCCUCCCGCGUCUCCGGCUGCAGGUCAGCCCCACCACAGACAGCCAGUUCGUGUUCCUUCCAGGAAGAAGCUUCCAAUUCUGAGGUCCGAAACAUGCCACAUCCCUCUCUAUUUAAGUGAAGGAGGAAAGCUGGAGGCAGAUGGUGGAGCCAUGCAGGGUUUCUGGGCCAGUUGAGAUUGGGUUGGAGGGAGGACCAGAGAGGGGGAUGAGAAAGGUGUUUCUGGGACUAGAAACCGUGUCCUGUGUGUAGAACUGGAAGUACCAUGCUGUAACAGAACUCUUUCCUUUCAGAGUUAGGAGUCUGCCUUUGAACGUCUCUACAGAGAGUAAGGGAUUAGAUUGGUAUCUUGGUGCAUGAAUAUUUUUUGGUGAUGGGAGAGUUUUAAAUAAAUCUUGAAUCACUGAGUCACAUUUGAGCAAUUAUGUUCUUUGCUAAAGGGUCAAUAGGCUAUAGUGAUGAUACAGCACCAAAUUCCUUGUAAGUGGUUGAAUGCAAACAAUUUGAUUGGAAUACUGGUUUAUUUAGUAGCUGGGAGGACAUGGCAACCCAGUCCAGUAUUCUUGCCUGGAAAAUCCCAUGGACAGAGGAGCCUGCUGGUCUGUACAGUCCAUGGGGUCACAAAGAGUCGGACACAACUGAGCAACUAACGCUUUGAACAUAACAGAGUAAAUGUGGAUGAAAUGAGGCAGACCAGCAACCUGGUACAUUUUUUCCAGCUGUCUCACUGGACAACUAAAGCUCAGCCCAACUUGAUUUUUAAGGUUUACCGUUUAGAAACAGAUUCACAACUUUGAUCUCCAUCUCGGGUGUCCAUCCAAUGGGUGAGAAUAUGGAGGCCCAGCAGGUCAGGCAGUCAUUAGGCUAGUUCCUGCUGCCCAGCUGCUGGGUGAUGUGGGCACAGCCUUCUGAAUGUUCGCCAACAGGCCUUGUAAUUCCACACUCCAAGGGAGCACCUCGAUCUGAAAAUGAAGAGUUUCAGUGGAAGGAAGGUGGGGAGUCAGUGUGAAGCAUGGCAGUGAGUGUGAAGACCAUGCUUUCAUCUCACAUCUUUCUCCACCAUCUCCUGUGUGCCGGGCCUUCAUAUACCGCAGACAAGUGUGUGC